rnacentral:rRNA from 1 species
UACGAAGGGAGCUAGCGUUGUUCGGAAUCACUGGGCGUAAAGCGCACGUAGGCGGAUGUGUCGGUCAGGGGUGAAAUCCUGGAGCUCAACUCCAGAACUGCCUUUGAUACUGAGAAGCUUGAGUCCGGAAGAGGUGAGUGGAACUGCGAGUGUAGAGGUGAAAUUCGUAGAUAUUCGCAAGAACACCAGUGGCGAAGGCGGCUCACUGGUCCGGUACUGACGCUGAGGUGCGAAAGCGUGGGGAGCAAACAGG